GACGCAGUUUGUAAAUACACUUCCAAAAUCAUUGAAAAAAACGGUAUCUUCUAAGCAGCAGGUCGCAGGUUCGAGUCCUGCAGGGGUCGCCA
rnacentral:tRNA from 1 species